rnacentral:rRNA from 1 species
AUUGAACGCUGGCGGCAGGCCUAAUACAUGCAAGUCGAACGAGUGGCGGACGGGUGAGUAGUGUCUGGGAACCUGCCUGAUGGAGGGGGAUAACUACUGGAAACGGUAGCUAAUACCGCAUACCAUCGGAUGUGCCCAGAGGGGAUGAGCUAGUAGGUGGGGUAAAGGCUCACCUAGGCGACGAUCCCUAGCUGGUCUGAGAGGGUGACCAGCCACACUGGAACUGAGACACGGUCCAGACUCCUACGGAAGGCAGCAGUGGGGAAUAUUGAACAAUGGGCGAAAGCCUGAGGCAGCAAUGCCGCGUGUAUGAAGAAGGCUUUCGGGUUGUAAAGUACUUUCAGCGGGGAGGCGUUAACCGCAGAGAAAGCACCGGCUAACUCCGUGCCAGCAGCCGCGGUAAUAC